UCUGUUCCUGACUGCUAAAGGGAAGAGGACUGGCUCCUAGGCUGAAAGCCCUACUGUAUACACUAUAAAAGGGAACAUUCCAUCAACUCUGCUGCCAACUGAGAGAGCCAAACCAGAACAAGGAAUUUUCCCUUUAAAUGCCUCUGCUGUGACCAUUCUGUCCUGAUAUCUGGAGGAAGCUCAUCAGUGAGUGGUACAUCCACAGAACUCUUCUCCCAUCUAGAACAGCUUAGAAGAACACUGCACUGGUGGUAGUCACAUGACGCACUCUCAAAGUGCCUCAGUAACAAUUUUCCUCUAUAGGAAAUUUAAAAUAUACACUUCAGCCUUUACUGUAUAAGGUACUUUUUUUUAAACUCUGUACAUUUAGACUAUUUCCUGUUCCUAUAGAUUAGAGAUUUCAGUGCUUCACUUACUUCACCUUCCUUCUGUAACCAGCUUAGCACAGAGGUGAAUGGAUAUUUAGCGCUGCCUACACAGACACCUGGAGUCAUGGGGAUCAGCUAGGGAGGGGUGACAGCAG